AGUGAACGCUGGCGGUAUGCUUAACACAUGCAAGUCGAACGGCAGCGCAGUAAUAGCUUUCUCGUACGGGGGGCGACGGGCGGACGGGUGAUGAAUACAUCGGAAUCUACUUUUUCGUGGGGGAUGACGUAGGGAAACUUACGCUAAUACCGCAUACGACCUACGGGUGAAAGCAGGGGAUCUUCGGACCUUGCGCGAUUGAAUGAGCGGAUGUCGGAUUAGCUAGUUGGCGGGGUAAAGGCCCACCAAGGCGACGAUCCGUAGCUGGUCUGAGAGGAUGAUCAGCCACACUGGAACUGAGACACGGUCCAGACUCCGACGGGAGGCAGCAGUGGGGAAUAUUGGACAAUGGGCGCAAGCCUGAUCCAGCCAUACCGCGUGGGUGAAGAAGGCCUUCGGGUUGUAAAGCCCUUUUGUUGGGAAAGAAAAGCAGCAGGCUAAUACCCCGGUGUUCUGACGGUACCCAAAGAAUAAGCACCGGCUAACUUCGUG
rnacentral:rRNA from 1 species